rnacentral:rRNA from 1 species
AUAAGCUAAGUUGGUGGGGGUUAAGGCCCACCCAAGGCGACGAUCAGUAGCUGGUCCGAGGGGGACGAUCAGCACACUGGGACUGAGACACGACCCAGACUCUACGGGAGGCAGCAGUGGGGAAUUUUGGACAAUGGGCGAAAGCCUGAUCCAGCAAUGCCGCGUGUGUGAAGAAGGCCUUCGGGUUGUAAAGCACUUUUGUCCGGAAAGAAAUGGCUCUGGUUAAUACCUGGGGUCGAUGACGGUACCGGAAGAAUAAGGACCGGCUAACUACGUGCCAGCAGCCGCGGUAAUACGUAGGGUCCAAGCGUUAAUCGGAAUUACUGGGCGUAAAGCGUGCGCAGGCGGUUGUGCAAGACCGAUGUGAAAUCCCCGAGCUUAACUUGGGAAUUGCAUUGGUGACUGCACGGCUAGAGUGUGUCAGAGGGGGGUAGAAUUCCACGUGUAGCAGUGAAACGCGUAGAGAUGUGGAGGAAUACCGAUGGCGAAGGCAGCCCCCUGGGAUAACACUGACGCUCAUGCACGAAAGCGUGGGGAGCAAACAGGAUUAGAUACCCUGGUAGUCCACGCCCUAAACGAUGUCAACUAGUUGUUGGGGAUUCAUUUCCUUAGUAACGUAGCUAACGCGUGAAGUCGACCGCCUGGGGAGUACGGUCGCAAGAUUAAAACUCAAAGGAAUUGACGGGGACCCGCACAAGCGGUGGAUGAUGUGGAUUAAUUCGAUGCAACGCGAAAAACCUUACCUACCCUUGACAUGCCACUAACGAAGCAGAGAUGCAUUAGGUGCUCGAAAGAGAAAGUGGACACAGGUGCUGCAUGGCUGUCGUCAGCUCGUGUCGUGAGAUGUUGGGUUAAGUCCCGCAACGAGCGCAACCCUUGUCUCUAGUUGCUACGAAAGGGCACUCUAGAGAGACUGCCGGUGACAAACCGGAGGAAGGUGGGGAUGACGUCAAGUCCUCAUGGCCCUUAUGGGUAGGGCUUCACACGUCAUACAAUGGUGCAUACAGAGGGUUGCCAAGCCGCGAGGUGGAGCUAAUCCCAGAAAAUGCAUCGUAGUCCGGAUCGUAGUCUGCAACUCGACUACGUGAAGCUGGAAUCGCUAGUAAUCGCGGAUCAGCAUGCCGACGUUUGCAC